rnacentral:rRNA from 1 species
GACGAACGCUGGCGGCGUGCCUAAUACAUGCAAGUAGAACGCUGAAGGAGGAGCUUGCUCUUCGGGAUGAGUUGCGAACGGGUGAGUAACGCGUAGGUAACCUGCCUGGUAGCGGGGGAUAACUAUUGGAAACGAUAGCUAAUACCGCAUAACAGUAGAUGUUGCAUGACAUUUACUUAAAAGGUGCAAUUGCAUCACUACCAGAUGGACCUGCGUUGUAUUAGCUAGUUGGUGGGGUAACGGCUCACCAAGGCGACGAUACAUAGCCGACCGGAGAGGGGGGUCGGCCAAACUGGGAAUGAGAAACGGCCCAGAGCCCUGCGGGAGGCAGCAGUAGGGAAUCUUGGGCAAUGGACGGAAGUCUGACCGAGCAAGGACGGGUGAGGGAAGAAGGAUGUCGGAUCGGAAAGCUCUGUUGUAAGAGAAGAACGAGUGUGAGAGUGGAAAGUUCACACUGUGACGGUAUCUUAACAGAAAGGGACGGCUAACUACGUG